GGGAGUUUAGCUCAGCUGGGAGAGCAUCUGCCUUACAAGCAGAGGGUCAGCGGUUCGAUNCCGUUAACUCCCA
rnacentral:tRNA from 1 species